UUUCUACUCCCUCCGUCCGAAAAUACUUGUCAUCAAAAUGGAUAAAAAUAGAUGUAUCUAAAACUAAAAUAUGUCUAGAUACAUUCCCUUUUAUCCAUUUUGAUGACAAGUAUUUCUGGACGGAGGGAGUAUUUG
rnacentral:pre_miRNA from 1 species